rnacentral:rRNA from 1 species
GAUGAACGCUGGCGGCGUGCCUAAUACAUGCAAGUCGAGCGAACGGACGAGAAGCUUGCUUUUCUGAUGUUAGCGGCGGACGGGUGAGUAACACGUGGAUAACCUACCUAUAAGACUGGGAUAACUUCGGGAAACCGGAGCUAAUACCGGAUAAUAUUUUGAACCGCAUGGUUCAAAAGUGAAAGACGGUCUUGCUGUCACUUAUAGAUGGAUCCGCGCUGCAUUAGCUAGUUGGUAAGGUAACGGCUUACCAAGGCAACGAUGCAUAGCCGACCUGAGAGGGGGAUCGGCCACACGGGAACUGAGACACGGUCAAGCCUCAUACGGGAGGCAGCAGUAGGGAAUCUUCCGAAAAGGACGAAAGCCUGACGGAGCAACGCCGCGUGAGUGAUGAGGGUCUUCGGAUCGUAAAACUCUGUUAUUAGGGAAGAACAUAUGUGUAAGUAACUGUGCACAUCUUGACGGUACCUAAUCAGAAAGCCGCGGCUAACUACGUG